CUUAGAUCUUGCGGGAGAAAUGAACAGGAGGAAAAGAGGGAAGGCUGCUCUGGAGGAGCAGGGAGGUUAGGAAUGAAAUGAACCGUCUGUCUCAGAGCAUCUGGAAUCAUUUGAAGAAAUAAUGUGUGAGGGAGGGAAAAAAUUACCUCUGGCAGUCGUGUUAUAAUGGCUCUGGUGCUGACAGCCCUUUGGGAACAGUGGCAGCAGCAGGGUUGCAUAUUUUUAACAAAAGGCCCUGAGAAGGGACAUGAGGAAAAUCCAGGUUGGUGUCUUUGGUCUACCUUGAGUGACAAAGAUGAAAACAAAGAAAUCCCCUAAUCUGGAUCAACAAAACCAGGACUUGAAGUUCAAGCUGUCCAGAGCUCUGGAAAUGUAAACGAGCUAUCCAGGUAGGAAGAAUAAAGCCCCCCAAGCAGGUGAACAGUGCCAUCACCCGCCGAGGCAGACACUGGAUUUACCUGCGGAUGGCGAGUCUUUGGAUCGACACAGGAGCCCGUAAGGAAAACACUUAUGGAAAGCAUUUUCAUUGGAGAAAACAGGAGUGAACUCUUUCCAAACCCUUGGAAAAGUGCAGUCAAGAGCUCAACUCUGCUUUCAGUCCCACCUUGAGAGGAGAGGCUGCUGUUCCCUCUGCCCCAUUGCCACGGGUCAGGUCAGGUGUUCCUCUCUUUUCUCCCAAGAAAGGCAGGAAGGAUCACGGUCCCUCUGGGGGGGCCUGAUCCAGCUGCAAAGGUCAGGGAUGAGGAACCAGAAGGCUUUUCUGUCAGAAAUCCCCACUUCCAGCUACUCCUUCCCUCCCCUGAGGUCUGGGCAGAGGGAAGCAAGGCCUGACUGUCCCCACAGUGCUGGGAGCCCCAGGGCAGGAGAGGAGGGACUGGAGGCAGCAGGAGGGAGUUGUCCUGGAUGAACUCCAGGUCAGAGGUGAGAGGAGCCUUGGGCUCACUUGGAAAUGGUGCCAAGGCAGGGGAGAGGCCUUCCCCCAAGCAUGAGAGACUCCUGUGCUCUGGGUCCUCUGUCUCCUCCCUCACACAAGUUAUGUUUAUCCUCCAGAGUGAGGUCUCCUUCCAUGGCCUCCUUGUUCAAAGGCCUCAAAACCACUCAUUCCCCAGGAACCCUGUUUGUUCCUACAUAGGAUGAGCAAGCCAGGUCCAGCCUUUC